rnacentral:lncRNA from 1 species
UUUAAUACACCAGAAAACGAGAGAAGCAUAAAGCAGAGAGAGUAAUUCAAUCUGUGAGAUAAAUAGUGAAUGUGAGUUAUAUUAUAGUGAUGUGUUUAAAAUAAAGAGUGUUUUUUCUUUCGAAGUUGUAGUAGUCUUUUGGCACUAGUAAAUUGCUAUAUUGUAGCGGUAAUAUUGAUCCGCUCAGAUAUUGUAUUUUACCCCGUUAAAAGAUUUGGUGUCGUUAUUACUCUCUUGUAUUACUAUGAUUUAUCGUGAAUAUUAUUUCUGGGCGGAAUAUUAUUUUUUAUCCCAACA